rnacentral:rRNA from 1 species
AUGUUCACUUUACACGUGGGCAGGGGCACCUGGGCCACUGGCGCGUGGGGCCUAGGGAAUAGGGGGGGCCCGAAGUGGUUGUCUUCUUCCUCCCCGCACCUUUCACCUCGUGCAACAGAGGAGGAACAGGGGAGGGAGGGGAGCGGCGACCUGGCCAGCUCCGGCCACCCCCGGCCAGGGCGCGGCCACCGGUGGGUGCGGGAGGACCUGUCGCACCCAUUCCCGUGGUUGGCUAGCACCAGGGAGGCACGAGGAGGACGGCAGGCCGCGGCGAGGGGAAGUACAGAGGCGGCGGGGCGGUGGUUGUAG